CCUAGUUCUCAAAUUACACGACAGAGGGCUAAAAUUAAACAAAACUGUAUAUUUCUCUUGUAUGUUUUGUUAUCUUUCAAUUUGAGUAGCAAACCUUAUCAAGUGAAGAAAUUGUAGGGGGAGUCUGCCCCGUAGAUGACAAGCAGGGGUAACAAAUUUUUCGAAGCUCAUUAUACCUCGCGGCAUCAAAAUUGUGGAGCUUCAUGAGCUUUUUCUGCUUGACAUUAAACCUGCUUUGGUAGAAUCCUUCAAAAGAAGGGUCUUUGGAUGUCCUGAGGAAAAAGGCGUAUCCUGCCAUGCAAUAUAAGGAUGUGACAUAGAAGCAAAUAGGCUCCAUCACAUCCCAUGAGAGUUCCCAGAAGGUCAACCUCAUAAAGGCAGCUGUUUGGACAAUAAAAUAACCAAGCCCACACCAAAGUUCUCGGCGAACAAGGGCAUCAGCUUUUUUGUCGAUUGCAACUUUCUGUUUCUCCAUGUGUUCUAGC
rnacentral:misc_RNA from 1 species